rnacentral:tRNA from 7 species
GGGCCUGUAGCUCAGUUUGGUUAGAGCGCACGCCUGAUAAGCGUGAGGUCGAUGGUUCAACUCCAUCCAGGCCCACCA